rfam:Treponema denticola ATCC 35405, complete genome.
GGAACCUGUACACGUUGCGGUGCAACGAUUUGCAAAGA